rnacentral:rRNA from 1 species
GACGAACGCUGGCGGCGUGCCUAAUACAUGCAAGUCGAGCGCAGGAAACUGACGGAACUCUUCGGAGGGAAGGCAGCGGAAUGAGCGGCGGACGGGUGAGUAACACGUAAGGAACCUGCCUCAAGGAUUGGGAUAACUCCGAGAAAUCGGAGCUAAUACCGGAUAGUUCAACGGACCGCAUGGUCCGUUGAUGAAAGGCGCUCCGGCGUCACCUUGAGAUGGCCUUGCGGUGCAUUAGCUAGUUGGUGGGGUAACGGCCCACCAAGGCGACGAUGCAUAGCGGACCUGAGAGGGUGAUCGGCCACACUGGGACUGAGACACGGCCCAGACUCUUACGGGAGGCAGCAGUAGGGAAUCUUCCACAAUGGACGAAAGUCUGAUGGAGCAACGCCGCGUGAGUGAUGAAGGUUUUCGGAUCGUAAAACUCUGUUGUAAGGGAAGAACACGUACGAGAGGAAAUGCUCGUACCUUGACGGUACCUUACGAGAAAGCCACGGCUAACUACGUGCCAGCAGCCGCAGUAA